GGGUGAGUACACGUAAGCAACCUACCCUAAAGACGAGGAUAACCAUUGGAAACAGUGGCUAAGACUGGAUAGGAAGAUAAAAGGCAUCUUUUAUCUUUUAAAAGACCUAGUAAUAGGUAUGCUUUAGGAGGGGCUUGCGCCAUAUUAGUUAGUUGGUAGGGUAAUGGCCUACCAAGACGAUGAUGUGUAGCUGGACUGAGAGGUUGAACAGCCACAUUGGGACUGAGACACGGCCCAAACUCCUACGGGAGGCAGCAGUAGGGAAUUUUCGGCAAUGGAGGAAACUCUGACCGAGCAACGCCGCGUGAAUGACGAAGUACUUCGGUAUGUAAAGUUCUUUUAUCAAGGAAGAAAAGCAAAUGGCGAACCAUUUGUUUGCCGGUACUUGAUGAAUAAGCCCCGGCUAAUUAUGUGCCAGCAGCCGCGGUAAGACAUAAGGGGCAAGUGUCAUCCGGAAUUAUUGGGCGUAAAGGGUGCGUAGGCGGUCUAGUAAGUCAGUGGUGUAAUGGCAACGCUUAACGUUGUCCGGCUAUUGAAACUGCUAAACUUGAGUUAGAUAGAGGCGAGUGGAAUUCCAUGUGUAGCGGUAAAAUGCGUAAAUAUAUGGAGGAACACCAGAGGCGUAGGCGGCUCGCUGGGUCUUAACUGACGCUGAGGCACGAAAGCGUGGGGAGCAAACAGGAUUAGAUACCCUGGUAGUCCACGCCGUAAACGAUGAGUACUAAGUGUCGGGUUAAACCGGUACUGAAGUUAACACAUUAAGUACUCCGCCUGAGUAGUACGUACGCAAGUAUGAAACUUAAAGGAAUUGACGGGACUCCGCACAAGCGGUGGAUCAUGUUGUUUAAUUCGAAGAUACCCGAAAAACCUUACCAGGUCUUGACAUGUUUUUGCAAAAUGAUAGUAAUAUCGUGGAGGUUACCAGAAACACAGGUGGUGCAUGGUUGUCGUCAGCUCGUGUCGUGAGAUGUUAGGUUAAGUCCUAAAACGAGCGAAACCCUUAUCGUUAGUUGCCAGCACGUUAUGGUGGGGACUUUAACGAGACUGCCAAUGAUAAAUUGGAGGAAGGUGAGGAUCACGUCAAAUCAGCAUGCCCCUUAUGACCUGGGCUACAAACGUGAUACAAUGGCUGUUACAAAGGGUAGCUGAAACGCAAGUUCUUGGCCAAUCCCCAAAAACAGUCCCAGUCCGGAUUGAAGUCUGCAACUCGACUUCAUGAAGUUGGAAUCGCUAGUAAUCGCGAAUCAGCAUGUCGCGGUGAAUACGUUCUCGGGGUUUGUACACACCGCCCGUCAAACCACGAAAGUUGGCAAUACCCCAAAACGGUAGCCUAACUCGUUUAUUNGAGAGGGCGCCGUCUAAGGUAGGGUCGAUGAUUGGGGUUAAGUNGUAACAAGGUAUCCCUACCGGAAGGUGGGGAUGGAUCACCUCCUUU
rnacentral:rRNA from 1 species